UAAAUUUUUUUCUUAAAUUGUCAUAUUGACAGUCUUAAUGUUACUGAACACGACUCAGUGAACUAAAUCAGAUAUCAAAGGAGAGUUUAAACCAGUCAUCAUGAGAAACCUGGCACAGGAAGGUCAAUUUCCAGCUACAGAGUUUACAGCCAUGCAGCUUCACGAGCUUGUCAGGUAAGUACAGAUUAUGAAAAGCCUUGUACAGACCCAUUUCUCAGAUCUACCUUUAAUGUGUCUUGCAGUGUGGACUGGAAAGUCCACCCAUGAAACUAGAUUAAUUGUCCUGGCUGUAAUGGUCAGUUAUACCUAUAUAUUGACUCUAUGGUAAACAGGCUGUCUGGAAGUAUCUUUUGAGAAAAAGACAGUGUUGAAAUAAUGGACUCUUCUGCAUCUGUGUGGAUGGCGGCUAUGGACCAGGUGUGAGUAGCACCAACUAAGGGCCAGUUCUCUGUGAGGGAUCUGCCCUGAGUCUUAUAGCACUGCUCUCCUCUUCAUCUAUCUGUGUGUCUCAGCUUUAGGGGCUUCAGGGCAUGAAAUCCCAGACUCAGUAAGCACCUUCCCUUAGGGACAAAGACCCUUCCAGAUUGUUUUCCACCACGACAGCAAUAUUUAGAGUUUCCUCACAGUGAGGUUACAUUAGGCAGAAGAUGAUUGGUUGAUGGAUCUUGUCUUCCUUAUGUAUGAUUGACGGGCACGCCUCACUUAAACCCUAUAACUGUUGUGUGCAUUCCAAAAAUGAACUGAGCUACUGGAUGUCCACUUGAGGUUUGUCACCAGCCAGUUCUCACCAGCUCCCAGAGUCUGUGUGUUGAUUCCACGUCUCUACCCCCCACGACUGAGGUAGCCGAACAACUUAUUGACCACAUCAGUGACAGGAAUGUAUGCAAGACCGCAGAUGAGGAACCUAAGCCAGCCAAUUAUGCUGGACUUUAAUAACUAAGACUACAUUUACCUGUAUGGACAAUUGUUGGAAAGAUUAUUAAAAUAGAUUUUUCCAAGAGUGUUUAUAUUACUGACAGACCUAAUAAACUCCUUAAAUGUGAGAGUUAAGAGAAAGGAUGAUAAAUAUCCUGUGGCCUGUAAGAAUAUAACUUAUUGUAUCAUUAGUUAUUGCCAGCUAAUAUUUCAGAGCUAUAAUAUGCUAAAGUUAAUAUUCAGGCUUUAAAACAGGUGUAUGUCAAUUAACCGGACCUAGGCAAACUGCUGAUCUCAUAAUCCCUAAAGUGACUACUUUAUUCAUUGCUUUUUCAAUUAUAUCCUUUGUGGCUAUGUCUUAAAACUUACAAUGUAUGGAUUUUCUUAAUGUUUGACUUAAAUUACUUCCAAAAAUCCUUCAUGGUCAGAUAAGUGCUGAUGGAAGGAUGAGAACUAAGAAAUGAUGCUCUAGAAGACAAUGUAAUGAAUAAUGUGAGUGAGCCCUUUGCUCUGUGGUUUAUGGAGAGGCCUAAAUGCCAUGCCAAUGAAAAUAUCUGUUACUACGGCCAAACGCAAUGCCUCCCAAUAAAAUUGGGAAAAGAUUAAGAAUCUUCUGAUGAGUGUUUGAUGAAGUAAUAAUAACCUGGAUCUUCCAAGUUGAUUGUGUUAUGAAGAUGAUAUGUUUUCUACUAAUUCCUUUUGUGUUUCAAUAGCAGAUGGUGAUGACCUUGGACCAAGAGUCAAGUGACUGAAAGAUAGAAUUUCCCAGUUGCAUUUUUAUAUAUAUAUAUAUUAAGAAAGGGGGAAUAUGUGGGACACCAAUCUUGCACGUGACUGAGUCACACUCCCCGGCUGGGUGCUGAGGUGCUCAGUCACAGAAAUGUGGCAGAGCUUUCCCCACCCUUCUUGGGUCUGAAGGUCGGUGUCUCGUGCAUGGGUGUGUCUUGCUACAGCCCCAUGGGUGAAGCUAUGCUCACCUGUUCCUUCAUAACCCCUUGCCCUGUUUAGGAUAGAAUCUUCCAUGGAAGUGCCUUGUGUGUGUCGCCUCCUCUUACUGUGCCCUUGGGUGUGGCCUACCCAGGUGUCAGUCAACCUGCUGACGGUGGACAUCAUGAAGAUAGACUCAGCCCCCUGAAACCUGACCCCUUGCCUCAUUUGAAUAGCUUCUCCUCAAUAAAAGGGGUCAGCGCUGCUCUCGCUCUCUCACUUUCUGUGGACCCUUAAGGUCAGAGGAGCUGUCACAGCGAC
rnacentral:lncRNA from 1 species